UAUCGAUAAUAUUCCAAGGAUAAUAAGGGGAAGGAG
rnacentral:sRNA from 1 species